rnacentral:rRNA from 1 species
ACAAUGGCAGGCACAGAGGGAUGCUACCGGGCGACCGGAUGCGGAUCUCGAAAGCCUGUCCCAGUUCGGACUGGAGUCUGCAACCCGACUCCACGAAGUUGGAUUCGCUAGUAAUCGCGCAUCAACCAUGGCGCGGUGAAUACGUUCCCGGGCCUUGUACACACCGCCCGUCAAGCCAUGGGAGCCGGGGGCGCCUGAAGUCCGGGACCGCGAGGACCGGCCUAGGGCGAAACUGGUAACUGGGGCUAAGUCGUAACAAGGUAGC